GUGCAAUCUAUUUUGAUGGUAUGAUUAUUAUUAUUUGAAUUUCAGGGACGAGAUCCACGCAUCAAAGCUGGGAAUCCUGAUAUAAGCCACAGAGAGGCCUUUAGUGCAGCUGCAAAGAAUUGGGCCCAUUUCCCUCACAUACACUUCGGACUUAUGCCUGAUCAUCAACCCGUGAAGAAACUAACGUGCGCCAGGAAGGAGAAGACGUGCUUAUGAAAGAAGGGUUUUUGGGUCCCACAAACGUAGUAUAUCGCCCUUUUAAUUAAUUAAGCAAGGAUCUGUGAUAAUAAUAUUGUUAGGGUUUCUGCUUGUUGGUCUGUGAAGAUAUACAAUAAUCUUCUGCGUGCUCCUUAUAAGUACGUUCGUAAUAGCUAGCUCUUCCUCUUGUGUUAUGUCGUCGUUAAUUGCAUGUUGCUUUAAUUAGUGUUACAUUAUAAGUUUAUGCGCAAAUGAAGAGGAUGGAUUCUGGUCAUGUGAAGCUUAAUUAGUGUAGUUUGUUUUGAACAUCGAUGAAA